GGGCAGGUGGUGGAAUUGGUAUACACGCAGCCUUGAGGUGGCUGUGGCCGCAAGGCCGUGCAGGUUCAAGUCCUGUUCUGCCCACCA
rnacentral:tRNA from 1 species